UACGGGAGGGGGCAAGCGUUGUUCGGAAUUAUUGGGCGUAAAGGGCGCGUAGGCGGUUUGACAAGUCUGAUGUGAAAUCUCUGGGCUCAACCCAGAGUCUGCAUUAGAAACUGUCGGGCUUGAGUAUGGGAGAGGUGAGUGGAAUUUCCGGUGUAGCGGUGAAAUGCGUAGAUAUCGGAAGGAACACCUGUGGCGAAAGCGGCUCACUGGACCUAACUGACGCUGAGGCGCGAAAGCUAGGGGAGCAAACAGG
rnacentral:rRNA from 1 species